rnacentral:rRNA from 1 species
GGCCAAGUUUUUAAGGGCGCACGGUGGAUGCCUUGGCACCAGGAACCGAUGAAGGACGUGGGAGGCCACGAUAGGCCCCGGGGAGCUGUCAACCGAGCUUUGAUCCGGGGUGUCCGAAUGGGGAAACCCGGCAGUCGUCAUGGGCUGUCACCCGCUGCUGAACACAUAGGCAGUGUGGAGGGAACGCGGGGAAGUGAAACAUCUCAGUACCCGCAGGAAGAGAAAACAACCGUGAUUCCGGGAGUAGUGGCGAGCGAAACUGGAUGAGGCCAAACCAGUCACGUGUGAUACCCGGCAGGGGUUGCGUGGUUGGGGUUGUGGGAUCUCUCUUUUGCAGUCUGCCGGCUGUGAGGCGAGUCAGAAACCGUUGAUGUAGGCGAAGGACAUGCGAAAGGUCCGGCGUAGAGGGUAAGACCCCCGUAGCUGAAACAUUAGCGGCUCGUUUGAGAGACACCCAAGUAGCACGGGGCCCGAGAAAUCCCGUGUGAAUCUGGCGGGACCACCCGUUAAGCCUAAAUAUUCCCUGGUGACCGAUAGCGGAUAGUACCGUGAGGGAAUGGUGAAAAGUACCGCGGGAGCGGAGUGAAAUAGUACCUGAAACCGUGUGCCUACAAGCCGUGGGAGCGUCGCGCAGAGAACUUGUUCUUUGCGUCGUGACUGCGUGCCUUUUGAAGAAUGAGCCUGCGAGUUUGCGGUAUGUUGCGAGGUUAACCCGUGUGGGGAAGCCGUAGCGAAAGCGAGUCCGAAUAGGGCGUGGAGUAGCAUGCUCAAGACCCGAAGCGGAGUGAUCUAGCCAUGGGCAGGUUGAAGCGGAGGUAAGACUUCGUGGAGGACCGAACCCACCAGGGUUGAAAACCUGGGGGAUGACCUGUGGUUAGGGGUGAAAGGCCAAUCAAACUCCGUGAUAGCUGGUUCUCCCCGAAAUGCAUUUAGGUGCAGCGUCGUGUGUUUCUUGCCGGAGGUAGAGCACUGGAUAGGCGAUGGGCCCUACCGGGUUACUGACCUUAGCCAAACUCCGAAUGCCGGUAAGUGAGAGCGCGGCAGUGAGACUGUGGGGGAUAAGCUCCAUGGUCGAGAGGGAAACAGCCCAGAGCAUCGACUAAGGCCCCUAAGCGUGUGCUAAGUGGGAAAGGAUGUGGAGUCGCAGAGACAACCAGGAGGUUGGCUUAGAAGCAGCCACCCUUGAAAGAGUGCGUAAUAGCUCACUGGUCAAGUGAUUCCGCGCCGACAAUGUAGCGGGGCUCAAGUACACCGCCGAAGUCGUGUCAUUGCGAUAUUACUCCUAACGGGGAUCGUGAUGGGUAGGGGAGCGUCGUGUGCCGGGUGAAGCAGCCGUGGAAACGAGUUGUGGACGGUUCACGAGUGAGAAUGCAGGCAUGAGUAGCGAUACAAGAGUGGGAAACUCUUGCGCCGAUUGACUAAGGGUUCCUGGGUCAAGCUGAUCUGCCCAGGGUAAGUCGGGACCUAAGGCGAGGCCGACAGGCGUAGUCGAUGGACAACCGGUUGAUAUUCCGGUACCCGCUUUGAAGCGCCCAAUACUGAAUCAGGCGAUGCUAAGUCCGUGAAGCCGCCCUGGAUCCUUCGGGUGAAGGGGAGUGGUGGAGCCGACGGACCAGACUUGUAGUAGGUAAGCGAUGGGGUGACGCAGGAAGGUAGUCCAGCCCGGGCGGUGGUUGUCCCGGGGUAAGGGUGUAGGCCGUGUGGUAGGUAAAUCCGUCGCACGUUAAGGCUGAGACCUGAUGCCGAGCCGAUUGUGGUGAAGUGGAUGAUCCUAUGCUGUCGAGAAAAGCCUCUAGUGAGUUUCAAGGCGGCCCGUACCCUAAACCGACUCAGGUGGUCAGGUAGAGAAUACCGAGGCGUUCGGGUGAACUAUGGUUAAGGAACUCGGCAAAAUGCCCCCGUAACUUCGGGAGAAGGGGGCCAUUUCUGGUGAGGGAACUUGCUUCCUGAGCUGGGGGUGGCCGCAGAGACCAGCGAGAAGCGACUGUUUACUAAAAACACAGGUCCGUGCGAAGCCGUAAGGCGAUGUAUACGGACUGACGCCUGCCCGGUGCUGGAACGUUAAGGGGACCGGUUAGCUUGGAUUCGUUCAGGCGAAGCUGAGAACUUAAGCGCCAGUAAACGGCGGUGGUAACUAUAACCAUCCUAAGGUAGCGAAAUUCCUUGUCGGGUAAGUUCCGACCUGCACGAAUGGCGUAACGACUUCUCGACUGUCUCAACCAUAGGCCCGGUGAAAUUGCAUUACGAGUAAAGAUGCUCGUUUCGCGCAGCAGGACGGAAAGACCCCGGGACCUUUACUAUAGCUUGAUAUUGGUGUUCGGUUCGGCUUGUGUAGGAUAGGUGGGAGACUGUGAAGCGCCAACGCCAGUUGGUGUGGAGUCGUUGUUGAAAUACCACUCUGGUCGUGCUGGAUGUCUAACCUGGGUCCGUGAUCCGGAUCAGGGACAGUGUCUGGUGGGUAGUUUAACUGGGGCGGUUGCCUCCUAAAGAGUAACGGAGGCGCCCAAAGGUUCCCUCAGCCUGGUUGGUAAUCAGGUGUUGAGUGUAAGUGCACAAGGGAGCUUGACUGUGAGACUGACGGGUCGAGCAGGUACGAAAGUAGGGACUAGUGAUCCGGCGGUGGCUUGUGGAAGCGCCGUCGCUCAACGGAUAAAAGGUACCCCGGGGAUAACAGGCUGAUCUUCCCCAAGAGUCCAUAUCGACGGGAUGGUUUGGCACCUCGAUGUCGGCUCGUCGCAUCCUGGGGCUGGAGUCGGUCCCAAGGGUUGGGCUGUUCGCCCAUUAAAGCGGUACGCGAGCUGGGUUUAGAACGUCGUGAGACAGUUCGGUCCCUAUCCGCUGUGCGCGUAGGAGUCUUGAGAAGGGCUGUCCCUAGUACGAGAGGACCGGGACGGACGAACCUCUGGUGUGCCAGUUGUUCUGCCAAGGGCAUGGCUGGUUGGCUACGUUCGGAAAGGAUAACCGCUGAAAGCAUCUAAGCGGGAAGCCUGCUUCGAGAUGAGGGCUCCCUCCUCCUUGAGAGGGUAAGGCUCCCAGUAGACGACUGGGUUGAUAGGCCAGAUAUGGAAGCACUGUAAGGUGUGGAGUUGACUGGUACUAAUAGGCCGAGGGCUUGUCCUC